rnacentral:tRNA from 1 species
GGAGAUUUGGCCGAGUGGCUAAAGGCAACGGUCUUGAAAACCGUCGAGCGCGAAAUCGCUCCCAGGGUUCGAAUCCCUGAGUCUCCGCCA